rnacentral:lncRNA from 1 species
UUGAAAAAGCAUUCUUACAGCAACCUACUUUUCUUUCUUUUCUAAGAGACUUCAUCUAUUUGCUUGGAAGCCAGAGAAUUAUUUUUGUCUUUGAGACUCCAUUGUUUUACUACGAUAUGAAUCAGCAAUGAACUUCUGGAUCAUUAUCAGACACACUUGGUGAUCGACCACAUGCCAUGUGAUGUUUUUCUCAGCCAUGGGAAGGGGCAACUCUCAUGUGUAACUUUUGCUGACCCUUUAAGAAAACCCAUUCCACAAAGUGGUCUCCUUGGAACCUAUCCUUACUGGAACCGUGUGUCAUCUGAAAUGGCCGUGCUUGCCUGACAGCAUCCAAGUGAUGGAUACAGUCCAGGCCUUGAAGAGAGAUGACACAAAGCAGUCCGCAGCUGACAACAGACAAGUAGCAAGAGUAAUCUUAAAGUUUAUGAGGAAGAAUAAAAUUUCAAAAAUAAAGCAUAAGUGUGAAAAAGAAGAAUGAGGUGAGACCCGACUUAUCAGAUAACUGAAGAUAAUCUAAAGCCCUUAAACUCAAGUAAUGAUAUUUGGCAUUGAUAAGCAAACAGAAUAGCACCUCCAGAAAUAUAUGGACACUCAAUAUGGUCAUGUGUCAUUUAACGAUGGGGAUAUAUUCUGAGAAACAUCUCAUUAGGUGAUUGCAUCAUUGUGUGAACAUCAUGAAGUAGACAUACACAAACCUAGAAUGGUAUAUAGCCUAUUAUACAUCCUGGCUACUGGUAUGGCCUAUUGCUCUUAGGCUACAAACCUGUAGAGUAUGUUACUAUACUCAAUACUAUAGGCAAUUGUAACAUAAGGUAAGUAUUUGUGUGUAUCUAAACAUAGAAAAAGUGCAGUAAAAAUAUAUUACGAAAGAUUGAAAAUAGUACACCUUUAUAAGGCACUUACCAUGAAUGGGGUUUGUAGGACUGGAAAUUGCUCUGGGUGAGUUAGUUGAGUGGUGAGUGACUGUGAAGACCUAGAACAUUACUAUACACUACUGCAGACUUUAUAAAACACUACACUUAGG